CCUACGGGGGGCAGCAGUGGGGAAUAUUGCACAAUGGGCGCAAGCCUGAUGCAGCAACGCCGCGUGAGCGAUGAAGGUCUUCGGAUCGUAAAGCUCUGUCGCAUGGGAAGAUAAUGACGGUACCAUGUGAGGAAGCCCCGGCUAACUACGUGCCAGCAGCCGCGGUAAUACGUAGGGGGCAAGCGUUAUCCGGAAUUACUGGGCGUAAAGGGUGCGUAGGUGGCCUGACAAGUCAGGGGUCAAAGGCAACGGCUCAACCGUUGUAAGCCUUUGAAACUGUCGGGCUUGAGUUCUGGAGGGGAAAUCGGAAUUCCUAGUGUAGCGGUGAAAUGCGUAGAUAUUAGGAGGAACACCGGUGGCGAAGGCGGAUUUCUGGACAGAUACUGACACUGAGGCACGAAAGCGUGGGGAGCAAACAGGAUUAGAUACCCUGGUAGU
rnacentral:rRNA from 1 species